rnacentral:lncRNA from 1 species
CAGGGAUGCAAAACCUAGAGCCCCAGGGUCCUUUAAAUAAUGCCAGAAAUGCGCCAAAACAGGGCUUGAUCCAAUAGAAUCGAAAUAGAGCAGAAAUAGGGUCUGAUCCACGAGAAGUUGACGUUGAGGUGUCCUAUUUAGGUCGCUCAAGCGGUGAGAACACCUGAUUUAAGGCCUAGGCUUCGAGUUGGAUGCCCAAGCUUCGAGACCCCGCCACCCAGGUGACCAGGGUCACUGAUCGGGCGGUGGACGUCGAUUCUGCACGCUCAAGCCUUCCUUCUGGUCGCCCAAGCUUCGUGCUUUCCUUCCUUCUGGU